CAGAUGCAGCGACGCCGCGUGGAGGAAGAAGGUCUUCGGAUUGUAAACUCCUGUUGUUGAGGAAAAAGAGGAUGGUACUCAACAAGGAAGUGACGGCUAACUACGUG
rnacentral:rRNA from 1 species